AUUGAACGCUGGCGGCAGGCCUAACACAUGCAAGUCGAACGCGUGGCGGGCGGGUGAGUAAUGUCUGGGAAACUGCCCGAUGGAGGGGGAUCACUACUGGACACGGUAGCUAAUACCGCAUACCAUCGGAUGUGCCCAGAUGGGAUUAGCUAGUAGGUGGGGUAAUGGCUCACCUAGGCGACGAUCCCUAGCUGGUCUGAGAGGAUGAACAGCCACACUGGAACUGAGACACGGUCCAGACUCCUACGGGAGGCAGCAGUGGGGAAUAUUGCACAAUGGGCGCAAGCCUGAUGCAGCCAUGCCGCGUGUAUGAAGAAGGCCUUAGGGUUGUAAAGUACUUUCAGCCGGGAGGCGUUACCCACAGAAGAAGCACCGGCUAACUCCGUGCCAGCAGCCGCGGUAAUAC
rnacentral:rRNA from 1 species